AUUGAACGCUGGCGGCAUGCCUUACACAUGCAAGUCGAACGGCAGCGCGGGAGCAAUCCUGGCGGCGAGUGGCGAACGGGUGAGUAAUAUAUCGGAACGUGCCCAGUAGUGGGGGAUAGCCCGGCGAAAGCCGGAUUAAUACCGCAUACGACCUACGGGUGAAAGGGGGGAUCGCAAGACCUCUCGCUAUUGGAGCGGCCGAUAUCAGAUGAGGUAGUUGGUGGGGUAAAGGCCUACCAAGCCUGCGAUCUGUAGUUGGUCUGAGAGGACGAACAGCCACACUGGGACUGAGGCACGGCCCAGACUCCUACGGGAGGCAGCAGUGUGGAAUUUUGGACAAUGGGCGAAAGCCUGAUCCAGCAAUGCCGCGUGCAGGAAGAAGGCCUUCGGGUUGUAAACUGCUUUUGUCAGGGAAGAAAUCCUCUGGGUUAAUACCUCGGGGGGAUGACGGUACCUGAAGAAUAAGCACCGGCUAACUACGUGCCAGCCGCCGCAGUAACAC
rnacentral:rRNA from 1 species